rnacentral:misc_RNA from 1 species
GGUGGGGCUCUGAACUCACCACCUCUAGAAACUAUACGCUUCUGGCAGUGAGUGGCCGCGGUUCUAACCACUUGGCCAUCUAGACACAUAACCACAGCCAAUUAAAUUUUAAUCAUUUUUAAAAUAAUUAUAAAAUUAAAUUUUUUUAUUGGAACUCUUUAUUACGAGGAGAUACAAAAAAGGUUCUCGAGGAACGUGUCGUCUGACCUUAUGUAAAAAAAAAAACCCUUCCAAAUUAUUCUGAAAAUUAUGUUAUUAAUGUUAUUAGGGCCUUUUAAAGUCAACAAAUAUAAACUUAAGUUAAGAAUACUCAAAGAUUUGUGAUACAUGACUGUAUGUGCAGAUUUUAUACCAAAGAACAAGACUUAGUGUGAUUGCAAUAUUAAGUAGGCCUAUAUCAGUUAUUAUUGAAUCAAAGAGCAAAUUGAAAUUCAAUGUUACAGAACAUGUCCUUACUUUAUUACAGAAUCUCUGAACGAUAAGAUUUAAAACUGGGACAUUUAACUGUCAUGUAAAAGAUAGAAAUGUAUUUUGCAUUGAAUCAUUUUUUACACAAAUUUCGUUGGUUGUAUAUUUUAUUUAAAUUGGCAUCAAAGCAGAUAACAAUGUACUAAUACUGUACAUGUAGUUAAGUAUUUUGUUUGAUUGUGUUCAGCAAUUGAAGUCCAUUUUUCAUGUGUUUUUAUAGGACACGUUUUACAAACUUUUUAGUACUUGUUUUUAAGAUGUAUAUUUUGCCGAAUGGUAGCAUUUAAGCUUAAAGAUAUAAAUUUAAAAUAG